UACAUAUGGGGCAAGCGUUGUUCGGAAUUACUGGGCAUAAAGGGUGCGUAGGUGGUCUAUUAAGUCAGGGGUGAAAUCCCGCGGCCCAACCGUGGAACGGCCUUUGAUACUGAUGGACUUGAGUGCGUGAGGGGUAGGGGGAACGAGCAGUGUAGCGGUGAAAUGCGUAGAUAUUGCUCGGAAGGCCAGAGGCGAAGGGGCCCUACUGGUACGUAACUGACACUGAGGCACGAAAGCGUGGGGAGCAAACAGG
rnacentral:rRNA from 1 species